rnacentral:rRNA from 1 species
UACGUAGGUGGCAAGCGUUGUCCGGAUUUACUGGGCGUAAAGCGAGCGCAGGCGGAUGGUUAAGUAGGAAGUGAAAGGUUGGAGCUCAACUCCAACAUUGCUCCCUAUACUGGCUAUCUUGAGUCCCGGAGGGGAAAGCGGAACGAUACGUGUAGCGGUGAAAUGCGUUGAUAUGUAUCGGAACACCAAUGGCGAAGGCAGCUUUCUGGACGGGAACUGACGCUCAGGCUCGAAAGCCAAGGUAGCGAACAGG